rnacentral:lncRNA from 1 species
CUGGCGCUACACUUACUCCUGACCUGGGGUGCACCUGGCAGUGUACAGAGGUCACUUUGUGACCAUUUUUUGAGCCCUGUGUUCAUGACUCAUGCNCGUUUGAUUCCCAGCAUCACAUAUAAAUAAGCAAAUAAAAUAAGGAACCAUCAACAACUAAAAUAAAUAUAUAUGCUUUAUGGUAAAUAACUCAGUUUUUUUAGAUUCCACUGUUUAAGCAUCCUUUAAUACAUUAUUAGCACAAAUUUAAGAACUUCCUCAGGAUCCCAAAACUCCUCCAAAAUUCUGUUAGAACUAAUAUACAAAUUUGGCAAAGUAGCAGGUUACAAAAUAAACAUACUUUCCUAUAAAACCAAUAGCUUGCUUAUAUACCAACAAUGAAUCUGCUGAGAAAAAAUCAGGAAAACAGUUCCAUUCACAAUAGCCUCAAAAAAAAAAUAUAUACCUAGGAAUAAAUCUAACUAAGAAGGUGAAAGACCUCUGCAAUUAAACUAUACAACACUAAAGAAAAAAAAUUGAAGAAGAUCUCAGAAGAUGAGAUCUCCCAUGUUCACGGAUAGCCAGAAGUAAUGUCGUUAAAAUGGCCAUACUACCAAAAGCAAUAUACAGAUUUGAUGUAAUCCCCAUCAAAAUACCAAUAACAUUCUUCACAAAAUUAGAAAAAAACAGUCUUAAAAUUUAUUGGGAAAAAUUAAAGACCCAGAAUAGUCAAAUCAAUUCUAAGCCAAAAAAGCAUUGCUGGGGGUAUCACAAUACCUGACUUCAAAUUAUACCACAGAGCUAUCCUAACAAGAACUGAUUGAUACUGGCACAGAGACAGGAGGAUCACCAGUUCAGAGCCAGCCUCAGCAAUGGCAAGGCACUAAGCAACUCAGUGAGACCCUGUCUCUAAAUAAAACACAAAAUAGGGCUGGGGAUGUGGCUCAGUAGUCGAGUGCCCCUGAGUUCAAUUCCUGCUAACAACAACAACAACAACAAAAAAGUACACAUAGACCAGUCCAGUGGUUCAGAAUAGAAGAAACAAAGACAAACCCACACAUCUACAGUCAUCUGAUCCUUGAUAAAGGUGCCAAAAACAUGCACUGGAGAAAGAACAACCUCUUUAACAAAUGGUGCGGGGAACACUGUUAUUCAUAUGUAGAAGAAUGAAACUAGAUUCUUUAUCUCUUGCCUGCACAAAAAUCAACUCAAAAUGAAUCAAAGACCGCGGAUUUAAGUCAGAAACCAUGCAACUCCUAGAAGAAAACAGGGCAACACUCCAGCAUAUACGCCCAGGCAACGACCUUCUCUUUAGGACACCUAAAGCUCAGGAAAUAAGGCCCAGAGUUGUUAAAUGAUAUGACAUCAAAUUAAAAAGCUUCUGCACAGCAAAGGAAACAAGAUUGUGAAGAGAGAACCUACAGAAUGGGAGAAAAUCUUUACUAACUUCACUUCUGACAGAAGAUUAAUAGCUAGAAUGUAUAAAGACCUCAAAAAACUUUACACAAAAAAAAAACUCCAAUAAAUUUGGCAAAUGAAUUAUACAGACACUUCUCAAAAGAAGAAAAACAAAUGGCCAGAUAUAUGAAAAAAAAAUGUUCAACAUCAUUAGCCAUUAGGGAAAUGCAAAUUAAAAACUACACUGAGAUUUCAUCUCAUCCCAGUCAGAAUGGCAGCCAUCAAGAAUACAAAUAAUAAAUACGGAGAGAAUGUGGAGGAAAAAAAACCCUUUUACACUGUUGGUGGGACUGUAAAUUACAACCACCACUAUGGAAAUCAGCACGGAGGUUCCUCAAACACAGGGCAUGGAACCACCCCCUGGCCCAGCUUCCCCUCUCCUGGUACUGACCCCAGAGAGUCAACGUCAUCAUACCACAGUGGUCUGUACACACCGUGUUGACAGCAGCAAUUGUCAAACUCUGGAACCAGCCUAGGUGUCCAUCCAGAGAUGAAUGGAUAAAGAAAAUGUGGUAUAUACCACAAUGGAGUUUUAUUAGGCUGUAACGAAGAAUGAAAUUAUGUCGUUUGCAGGAAAAUAGAUGGAGAACAUAAUGUUAAGUGAAAAUAAGCCAAACUCACAAGUCAAGGGUCGUAUGUUUUCUCUCAUAUGUGGAAGCUAAAGAUGAAAAAGGAAAAGAAAGGUGAGGGUGGGUCUCAUGAAAAAGGGAGAUCAGUAGAAGAAAGGGCCCAAGGUGUGCAAGGUGGAGAGAAGGGGGGUGCUGGGGAGUGAAUAUUGGCUAAGUUACAUUGUUGUGUUGUAUUAUAUCCCACGUUAUUAACAGCUAUAAUGCACCCAUAAAAAUGUGAAAAAACCCUUCUCAGUGCAAAGUACCUUUCUUUGUUUUUGUUGUUGUUUUACAUUAAUUUAUUUAUUUCAGUUAGGUAUAUGUGAUAGCAGAAUGCAUUUUGAUUCAUUGUACACAAUUGCAGCACAACUUUUCAUUUCUCUGGUUGUACACCAUGUAGCGUCACACCACAUGUGCAGUCAUUCAUGUACCUAGGGUAAUGACGUCCAUUUCAUUCCACCAUCUUUCCUGCCCCCAUGCCCCCUCACCACCCCUUCCUUCUCUUUGCCCAAUCAAAGUUCCUCCAUUUUUCCCAUGCUCCCCCCCAUUAUGGAUCAGCAUCCACUUAUAGAGAACAUAUUUGACAUGUGGUUUUUUGGGAUUGACUUACUUCACUUAGCAUGAUAUUCUUCAACUCCACCCAUUUACCUGCAAAUACCAUAAUUUUUUUCUCUCUUUUAAUACUCAGUAAUAUUCCAUUGUGUAUAUAUACCACAGUUUCUUUAUCCAUUCAUCUACUGAAGGGCAUCUAGGUUGGUUCCACAGUUUAGCUAUUGAGAAUUGUGCUGCUGUAAACAUUGAUGUGGCUGUGUCCCUGUAGCAUGCUGUUUUUAAAUCUUUUGGGUAUAAACUGAGGAGUGGGAUAGCUGGGUCAAACUGUGGUUCCAUUCCCAGUUUUCCAAGGAAUCUUCAUACUGCUUUCCAUGUUGUCUGCACCAAUUUGCAGUCCUACCAGCAGUGUAUGAGUGUUCUUUUCCCCACAUCCUCACCAACACUUUAUUGUUGUCUAUGUUCUUGAUAACUGCCAUUCUGACUGGAGUGAGAUGAAAUCUUAGAGUAGUUUUGAUUUGCAUUUCUCUAAUUUGUUGUGUUUUAGUAUUGGUAUUAUUUUCUUUCUUCCACCUUAUACUGAGUUUUCUAAAAUGGUAAUACUCCAAGAGAAUACCCAUCCCCCCCUUCCUCAUGCCGUUUCCUUUUUUAGCCACAGGUUGGUAACAGCUGUUGACCGCUGGGUUCACUGUACCUCCCAUUCUACUGCUGAGAUGACAGCAAGGAGCCCUGGGCCUCCUGUUUCUAGUAUGCUUUCCACUUCCUUUGCAGCAGUUUGGCUAAUGAGUGAACACAGCAGAGUUCAUUUGGGGGAAUCACCAAUGCUCUAACUAUAGAAAAGAUCUGGAAGUAAUUGUUCUAGUGUCAGGCUUCAGACAUUCAUGCCUGGAGGUGUCCAAGUGGGGGGCACCCACUUCAUAAAGGGAACGAAUAAUAAAUUCUGUUACUCUGUGUUUCUUAAUGCACAUUCUGUCCUCACCUGUUAUUUAAAUGUGCCCCAAAGCUCAUGGGUUAGACACUUGAAACCCCAAAGCGAGGGUGCGGGGAGGUCGGGCCCGGUGAGAGCACUGAUGUCUCUUAGCUCCGGGGCGGGCUCUCUGCUAUGGGCCAGCAGUGCCAAGGCCCUCCCCAGAUGCCACUGUCCUGCUUUAGAGUUCCCAGCUCUAGAGCUGGAGCUGGGCAAAUGGCCCCACUUGGGCUUUCUGCUCUAGCUGUGAGAACAGACCUAAGACAGUGAUAUCAUUCAUGAUCUGCACAUUUGCAAAGGCAAAGAGGCCUGGUCUUUGCCUCAGCUCCUGGGGUGGGCUUGCAGCCCUUGGAAUGUGCUUUCUGGUCAGAGUGCCUUUGUCUUUCCAGGGACGGGGGACCACCUUCAUCACCUAGCAGUGCGAGGGCUGGAGAAUAAGGGCAUGAGCCCACCCAGUGAGGAGUGGACCUGGAGGUGUGGGUGAGGUGCCCUGAAGCCUGCACUCCUGGGGCUCAUGUGGUCUGUCUCCUUACUGCAAUAAGCCACAGUGUGAACAUGGCACUUUCACUGAGUCAUAUGAGACCUUUUGGUGGAUCAUUGAACCCGAAGGUGGUCUUGGAGACAACAAAAUGGCCUUGGCACUACCAAACUCUGUUCGGGUAUGAAAGAAAAGGUUGGCACCUUUAUCAAGUUAAUCUAGGUUAUGUUAGCAAAUUGAUUAUCUAUUUGCUUCCCAAAGCUCUAGGAAAAGGUAAUAUUUUUAUUUUUUUAUUUUAUUUUUUUUGAGAGACAGAGAGAGAAUUUUUUAAAUAUUUAUUUAUAUUUUUUUUUAGUUUUCGGCAGAUACAACAUUUUUGUUUGUAUGUGGUGCUGAGGAUCGAACCCGGGCCGCACGCAUGCCAGUGAGCGCGCUACCACUUGAGCCACAUCCCCAGACCAGAGGUAAUAUUUUUAAUGGUGUAUAUCUUAGUUGAUUUGUGCUGCUAUAACAAAAUACUUACAGAUGAGAAAUUCAUAGCAAUAGAAAUUUAUUUCUCACCAUUCUAGAGGCUGGAAGCCCAAGAUCAAGGCAGCAGAUUCAGCAUCUGGGGAGGGUCUUCUGAGAUUCUGCUAGGAACCCUGUUGCUGUAGCCUCGUGUUGCAGAAGGACUAGAGGACAAAAAAGGACCUAGCUAGUUUCCUCUAGAUUUUUUGGGAUCCAUUCAUGAGGGCUCUCCUCUCAUGACCCAGUCUCCUCAGCCCACCUCUUAAUACUAUCCCAUUAGUGAUUAAGUUUCCAUGUAAAUUUUAGGGGGACACAUUUAAAGUAAACGUAAGGCCAUUUAUGUCAAAAAUAAAUGGUGGCCAGAUUUCACCUACUCUGACUGUGAGUUCUGUAUCUGUUUUCUUCCCUUGGGUUAUAUUGUUCAUGCCUUCCUCGUUUAUUGGCCACAUCAAAAAUUGUUGCAGG